UGAGUCUUCAAAUCUUUACUAGCAACUACACCAUGAACUUCAACAAGUAUUUCGCAUUCUUGGCCAUCUUGGUCUUGUGCAUUCUGGGUCAACAAGCUACCGAAGCUCAUCAUCAUCAUGGUUUUGGAAGAAUUGGACAUGAAUUGGACAAGGGUGUCAAGAAAGUUGCCAAAGUAGCUUCCGAUGUUAGCAAAGCUAAGACUGUCAUUGAGGCUGGUUCCGCUAUUGCAGGUGCUGUGGCUGCUGCUUAAAUUUGAUGGCCAAAAUGGAUAUUUUUUUCUGUUUUACGUAUAUUCUAAGUAGUAGUUGAAAUAAUUAAUUAAUUAAAUAAAAAUAAAUAUAUUAUUAAUUCAUUGGAAAACAUAA